AGUGAACGCUGGCGGUAGGCCUAACACAUGCAAGUCGAACGGCAGCACAGUAAGAGCUUGCUCUUACGGGUGGCGAGUGGCGGACGGGUGAGGAAUACAUCGGAAUCUACUUUUUCGUGGGGGAUAACGUAGGGAAACUUACGCUAAUACCGCAUACGACCUACGGGUGAAAGCAGGGGAUCUUCGGACCUUGCGCGAUUGAAUGAGCCGAUGUCGGAUUAGCUAGUUGGCGGGGUAAAGGCCCACCAAGGCGACGAUCCGUAGCUGGUCUGAGAGGAUGAUCCGGCACACUGGAACCGAGACACGGUCCAGAAUUCUACGGGAGGCAGCAGUUGGGAAUAUUGGGAAAAGGGCGCAAGCCUGAUCCAGCCCUACCGCGUGGGUGAAGAAGGCCUUCGGGUUGUAAAGCCCUUUUGUUGGGAAAGAAAAGCAGCAGGUUAAUACCCCGCUGUUCUGACGGUGCCCAAAGAAUAAGCACCGGCUAACUUCGUG
rnacentral:rRNA from 1 species